CAACUUUUAACAACGGAUCUCUUGGCUCUCGCAUCGAUGAAGAACGCAGCGAAAUGCGAUACGUAAUGUGAAUUGCAGAAUUCAGUGAAUCAUCGAAUCUUUGAACGCACCUUGCGCUCCUUGGUAUUCCGAGGAGCACGCCUGUUCGAGUGUCGUGA
rnacentral:rRNA from 3 species